AUCUACAAGACAAAAAACCUCGUCAUUCCGAGGAGGAGGAGGAGGAGGAGGAGGAAGAGGUAUACCAUUCACAAGAGGAGGAGGAGGAGGAGUGCCGGAGUGCCAGUGUGCCAGAGAGAGAGAAAGAAAGAGAGCCAGACACCACUACCACCACCACCACCACCAGUUCCAGCCUCAACCUUUAGUGUGGCUUCGGCCGUGGUUGAGUGAGGACAAGACCAGUGUUGCCAAUAUGAGUGAGUGACCCGGGGAGUAUGAACACGUCAGCUCGUAUCCCCUUGGCCAUUUAGCGCCUUGUUGUGAGCCAUGUACCGCCGCCCACCUCUUGCCGCGUGGGUGGACUGGGCACACUAGCUCAGACGAGAGAGAAGGAGGAGAAAUCGAUGCUAAAAGGAGAUAGAGAGAAAUUGAUAUGAUAGAGAGAGAGAGAGACAGAAAUUUGAGGGAAUGACAGA